UACGGGGGGGAGCAAGCGUUGUUCGGAUUUACUGGGCGUAAAGGGCGCGUAGGCGGUCAGCACAAGUCAGUUGUGAAAUCUCCGGGCUUAACUCGGAAAGGUCAACUGAUACUGUGCGACUAGAGUGCAGAAGGGGCAACUGGAAUUUACGGUGUAGCGGUGAAAUGCGUAGAUAUCGUAAGGAAGACCAGUGGCGAAGGCGGGUCUCGUGGACAGUUCCUGACGCUGAGGCACGAAGGCCAGGGGAGCAAACGGGG
rnacentral:rRNA from 1 species